rnacentral:rRNA from 1 species
UCCCCCCUAUUAGAAGGUCCAUCCUGCCCAGUGACGUACGCGUUAAACGGCCGCGGUACCCUAACCGUGCUAAGGUAGCAUAAUCACUUGCCUUUUAAUUGGAGGCUUGUAUGAACGGACACACGAAAGUAAUGCUGUCUCAUUUACACCCAUAAAAAUUAACCUUUAGGUGAAGAGGCCUAAAUUAUAUAAAAAGACGAAAAGACCCUGUGGAGCUUAACUUUUAACACCUUACUUCUAAUUUUUAAAAUAUUCUUUAAGGGUAAAAGUUUAGUUGGGGCGACUAAGGAGCACAAUAAACCCUCCUUUCUACUCUACGGAAGUAAUCCACUUAAUAAUCCAUCUUGACAUGAAUAUAGAAUCAGCUACCCCAGGGAUAACAGGCUAAUCCUUCUUAAGAGCCCAAAUCAACAGAAGGGGUUGGCACCUCGAUGUUGGCUUAAGGUUUCACCAAGGUGUAGCAGCUUUGGUAGUGGGUUUGUUCAACCCUUAAAACCUUACGUGAUCUGAGUCAAACCGGA